GCGCGAGUGGCGGAAUUUGGCAGACGCGCAGGAUUCAGGUUCCUGUGUUCGAAAGGACGUGGGGGUUCAAGUCCCCCCUCGCGCA
rnacentral:tRNA from 1 species